rnacentral:tRNA from 1 species
GGCUGUGUAACUCAGUGGUUAGAGUGCUGCUCUCAUAAGGCAGAUGUCGCGGGUUCAACUCCCGCCACAGCCA